rnacentral:rRNA from 1 species
UACGUAGGGCGCAAGCGUUAUCCGGAAUUAUUGGGCGUAAAGAGCUCGUAGGCGGUUUGUCGCGUCUGCCGUGAAAGUCCGGGGCUUAACUCUGGAUCUGCGGUGGGUACGGGCAGACUUGAGUGAUGUAGGGGAGACUGGAAUUCCUGGUGUAGCGGUGAAAUGCGCAGAUAUCAGGAGGAACACCGAUGGCGAAGGCAGGUCUCUGGGCAUUAACUGACGCUGAGGAGCGAAAGCAUGGGGAGCGAACAGG